rnacentral:tRNA from 1 species
ACCUGAGUGGCUCAGCCGGUUAAGCAUCUGACUUCAGCUCAGGUCAUGAUAUAACGGUUCAUGGGUUCAAGCCCCGGUUCAGGCU